rnacentral:tRNA from 1 species
AGGGGUGUAACUCAGCAGGUAGAGUAAUGGUCUCCAAAACCAUCUGUCGGGGGUUCGAUUCCCUCCGCCCCUGCCA